CCUACGGGAGGCUGCAGUGGGGAAUAUUGGACAAUGGGCGAAAGCCUGAUCCAGCCAUGCCGCGUGUGUGAAGAAGGCCUUCGGGUUGUAAAGCACUUUCAGUGGGGAAGAAAGCCUUGGGGCUAAUACCCUCGAGGAAGGACAUCACCCACAGAAGAAGCACCGGCUAACUCCGUGCCAGCAGCCGCGGUAAUACGGAGGGUGCAAGCGUUAAUCGGAAUUACUGGGCGUAAAGCGCGCGUAGGCGGUCUGAUAAGCCGGUUGUGAAAGCCCCGGGCUCAACCUGGGAACGGCAUCCGGAACUGUCAGGCUAGAGUGCAGGAGAGGAAGGUAGAAUUCCCGGUGUAGCGGUGAAAUGCGUAGAGAUCGGGAGGAAUACCAGUGGCGAAGGCGGCCUUCUGGACUGACACUGACGCUGAGGUGCGAAAGCGUGGGUAGCAAACAGGAUUAGAUACCCUUGUAGUC
rnacentral:rRNA from 1 species